UAUUUUUCGGCCUAAGGCCCAAGAUCACAAUUUGUCCUAAAAUAAUAUGCCAACAAAGCAAGCGUACCUGGGCAAAGACGCCGGUCAUAGAAGCGUGAGUAUCAGCAUCCGCCAUGAGAUCGACAUCACUAAAAGACAUCUCCAGGGACUCCAGCAGAUCCUCGUCGCUGCCAUAAUCGGAGGAAGCCAUGAUGAGAGAUUUGGGAGAAUUUGAGAGAGAGCCUUAGAGUAAGAGGAUGAAAAUGAGUGAAAAAUGAAAGUUUAAGCUAUUUAUAGAAGAAAAAAAAAGGAGUCAAAAGGCGGGUCUUCUGGACGCGUCUAUUUUUCGCCUACAAAAUUUGUGUUUCAUACAACCACCGACUCCCAUAAAUCAUUUUAUGGUCGCCGN
rnacentral:lncRNA from 1 species